rnacentral:rRNA from 1 species
UACAGAGGGUGCGAGCGUUGUUCGGAAUUACUGGGCGUAAAGCGCGCGCAGGCGGCCUUUUAAGUCUACCCGUGAAAUGCCGGAGCUCAACUCCGUGCACGCCGGGGGAUACUGGGAGGCUAGAGACAGGUAGAGGCAAGCGGAAUUCCGGGUGUAGCGGUGGAAUGCGUAGAUAUCCGGAAGAACACCUGAGGCGAAGGCGGCUUGCUGGGCCUGAUCUGACGCUGAGGCGCGAAAGCGUGGGGAGCAAACAGG